rnacentral:lncRNA from 1 species
UUUGGCCAGUGUAUAAUUUAGUUUUGAUCGUGACUUGAAUUACACUCAUCAGGUAAUGGUGCCGUGAUUCUGCAGAGCUACGAGAAGAGUGGAGGAUGGAGUACAUGGCGCCUGGAACUUGCAGUGCCUCAGUGUCCGGAUAACCCAUCGUCGUGCCCAACUUGCUCCAUCAGAAGCCUGCGAACCUGGUGCCCUUGACCUUCAACCAGGCAGGGCACCAGAGUUGCACUGCCAUAAGUAUAUUCACUGUUAGUGCUACCUGCACAAGACCAAUCUUUACCAUGUAUAGUUACAUGCCUGAUAAACUGUAGUAGUAUUGAAUUUACAGUGUGCAGUUAUAUACAUUAGGAAUUAAGAGUGUGGACUGCUGUUGUAGCAAUUUUCAUUCACAUGAUGGAACCAACAAAAUAUGCUAUUCCCACUUUCUGAGAGCAACUGCACAUCAUUCUAAUGAUCGAAAGAAAAGGGCAUCUAGUACCAUCCAGGAAUCUAGUACCAUCCGCCAGGCUCACUUGCAAGUAGCAACUAGUACCAUCGAGGAAUCUGGCUAAACUUUUCUUACAGAAACCCAGUCCAUGCAAGUCUGAUUAUCUAGGUAGUAGUUCACACCGAGAUUGACACGAGGCCCCUAGAAUCCAUGCUGUCUGCCCUGAAUCUCUUUGAGUAGAGAAGUGACCACAGCAGAUUCAGCAACCCUGACAGAAAUGUACGCAUAUAUAUCAGGUCCUGCUCAAAUCUAUCGUUCUUUUCUCUGACGCAUGUUGUUUUCUUUGGUACUGAUCUUCUGGGUGUUAAUUUGGUCAGGUCAACAAUUAUUUCAUGGAUAACAUCUAACAAUUGUUGUUUAAUAAAACACAAUUGAAUGUAGUAACAAUUUCUACAACAUCUGGUUGCAAAAAUUAAUUUAGUUUGUUCAAUGGAAAAAUAAAGAGUUUUAUAUCUUCAUUCAAGAACGAAUUCCUAUUCUCUUGAAAUUUUCAUUUAUAUGUUUCCUCUUAAGAAUUGAUGUUGUAAUAUUUGUAGUUUGGAUUUUAGGUGAGUUGAACUAAAUGCCAUGCUGUUUGUUACUCCUGAAGCUAAAUUUUAACAAGCAGGUAGGAACUAGAAUAAUUAUGCGAACGCAUAACCAAUGAUUUAGCUGUUUGAGGCAUUCAAGAGAACCUCAAAAGGAAGUGUGUGCAUUUAGGAAAAUGAUUAGUGUGUGGUUCGUAGUAAAUGGGUCUUAGAGUGAGAUGCUUCUGCUGUACAUAAAUAUGCAGAAAAUGUAAAAUAGACGGUGAAAUCUUUGUAACAACUGAAUGUUACUGAACUUUUUUUAAACUGAGUUGUUUGCAGCUUGAGGCUUUGUAGCGCCUCACCGGACAGAACCCCAUGCUCGUCCAGGAUGAGUGCGCUCGAGCAAACGAUUAAGCAAUUCAAGGAGGAAUCAUCGAGCUAUAUUAUUGGAUGUCGCUUUACGUUCUACAAUAGCAUUUUUGUCCUUUUGUAUUGUGGAAUUAGUGUUCCUUGUCUCACAUUUCUCUACUAUGUAAAGUGUAUAUAUUAAUGCAGUAUUAUUAUGUUAGUUAUGAUUUCUUAAGCACUGUUCCUGGCCCAGGGUGUCCACUGAUCAGUGAUGAAGGUUGAUGAUUACAACUGAACGACUGAAUCAGUCCACUUACACAAUUAAAGAUGGUUGAUCAGUGAUGAAGGUUGAUGAUUACAACUGAAUGACUGAAUCAGUCCACUUACACAAUUAAAGAUGGUUGAAGAACCAUGCUGGAGACAGAAGAACUUGGUAUGUCAAUUUUUUAGGGCCUUCAUCAACAACACUACAAUACGUAUUCAGUCUAUAACAAUAUAAAAGUUUAGAUUUACUUCUCUGAAAUGUUGUGUGAACCAUCCUUGGUUGUACAGCUCUUUUGUUCAUCAUUACUUCCAGCCUCGUUGUUAUUUCUUGCAUUACUGGUAGAGAUCAGAUUACCAUUGCUCAUUAUAUUGUCAUUUUUUUGUAUUGCCUCCUACAUAUCUUCUGGGCAAACAAUUGAUUUCAUCUCUGCAUCCUGGAUGCGAGGCUGUUUUGCAGUGUAUAGACCCUGGUCAUUUUAGUAGUAGAAGAAUCCUUACAAGCAUGAAGAUCUAUGCUAGUGUUAUUUACAUGGCGCGAUUUGUGUACUGCUCUAGCGUUGUGAUGUUGAUAUUAUCAUGUCCGAUGUGGGAUGUUGCCGUCCACACGUACUUUUAUCUCGUUGGAACUAUGAUGUUUAUAUAUCUAUGAGUAGGUUCAGUUUUUUGUCCGAGUUGUUCUCUAGUCAACAAUUUGUACUGGUCAAAUUAUGUGUUCUACUUAUGUAUGAUAACAAAAUUAAUAUUAUAGAUAAUAACAGGUGAUAUAGUAUCCAGAUUAGUAGUAAUUAGGUUGUCCAGAUUCGUUUCUACCCAGGAAAUUAGUUUCAACGGAUACAUCAGCAAGACAACAAGUUAUAGAAACAUCAUGAAUGAUCUUGUAGUGAAAAUAAAAUCAUAAAGUUCCAAUAUAUCUUUACCAUUAUUAACAAACGUACUGUGAUUUCACUAGAAAUCGUGUAUGUGGAAUGCAUUCUAUACUCAACAAUAUGNNNNNNNNNNNNNNAUGCUGUAAUGUGAAAUAUACACUGCAUCUUGUAAACACUCCCUCCAAUCCAUAAUAUUCAGCGGGUCCCCUAGUUUUGACGUUAUAACUAGCACCUAAUUUUCUGCUAAUUUGGUAGCUCCAUGUUUUUUAUAAUUAGCAGCUUUUAUACAACCCUGAUAUCUAGUAUAAUGGAUAUAUUUUGUGAUUUGAGUUAUUGAUCUGUGCUCUGGUGUAAUAUUACGGUCUAAUAUUUUUUGUUUUGUCUCUUUUUCUGUUGCUAGGAAAGUGGUGAGAAGAUGUCGAUGAUGCCUACUUGGGACAUUCAAAUCAAUACAACAUAAAAAUUUCUAAACCUAUGUCUCAUAGGAGAGUGGAAUGAACUCCAUUGUUAGUACAUGUGCAAUUGUUCUAUUGUGCAAUUCUGUUCGUUUUUGCUAUAUUCUUGUGUAAGGAAAUGUAUCCAUCAGAUGAGUUAUUGUGUUAUGUAAAUCUGGGAGAUGUAUUAUGUGAUGUUAUAUGAUGGAUGAGUUUAAUUCGACUUGGAGUUUUCUUGAUUUGAAUAUGAAAUAAUGCUGCAUUUAAUAUUGAACAAAUAAUUGGUUGAAAAUGCCCAAUAAAGAGAAAUGAAACCAAGUUCUG